AUGGAAAUAGGAAAGUUACAAUUUUUGCAAACAUUGGACUUAAGAACGUGUGGAUCUAUGGAUGUGCCAUCAAGUAUUAUACGGCUAGGACAUUUGUUGUGCCUAUAUGUUGAUGGGGGUAUCAGAUUGCCAGUGGGGCUAGGGAACUUGGUGUCCUUAGAAGAGCUAAAUAGAGUGCAGGUGGGUGGUACUCAUGCGAUUGAGAAAGAACUACCGAAGCUGGUGGAGCUGAGGGUGCUUGUCCUCUGGUGGAAGGGAGACAACGAGAGUGUAUAUAUAUAUGUAAGUCUUUGUUGGUGUCCCUGGACAAUCUACGGAAAUUGCUUAGCCUAA
rnacentral:rRNA from 1 species